CCUACGGGAGGCAGCAGUGGGGGAUAUUGCACAAUGGGGGGAACCCUGAUGCAGCGACGCCGCGUGGGUGAAGGAGCGUUUCGGCGCGUAAAGCCCUAUCGGCAGGGAAGAAGGAGGACGGUACCUGACUAAGAAGCCCCGGCUAACUACGUGCCAGCAGCCGCGGGAAUACGUAGGGGGCAAGCGUUAUCCGGAUUUACUGGGUGUAAAGGGGGCGCAGACGGCAGCGCAAGCCAGGAGUGAAAGCCCGGGGCCCAACCCCGGGACUGCUCUUGGAACUGCGCGGCUGGAGUGCAGGAGGGGCAGGCGGAAUUCCUGGUGUAGCGGUGAAAUGCGUAGAUAUCAGGAGGAACACCGGUGGCGAAGGCGGACUGCUGGACUGCGACUGACGUUGAGGCCCGAAAGCGUGGGGAGCAAACAGGAUUAGAUACCCGAGUAGUC
rnacentral:rRNA from 1 species